rnacentral:misc_RNA from 1 species
GACCGGGUUUUAGUAUAUACGAGUUUUUUGAAAUAAAAAAGCAAUACCGCCCUCUUGUUCUAUCAAGAGGGCGGUAUUUCUUCUUUUUAUAUUUCAGACUGUUUUAAAUAAACAAAUACUUUUGAAUGAUCUGAAUGAUCAAAAAGGAAUCCUUUUUUUUUUUUCUUUAAUAACUUUAAUAAAUAAAUAAAAAAAAAUUAGC